UAUCAUAAAAAAAGUCUAUGAACUAAACGAUCUAUUGGGGCGUUGAAUGACGUCCGUUACGGUUACGAGCAAUAUUUAUUGUAAUUACAUUGUUUAGCCCGCUAAAAAGACUGUCAUUGUUUGAAAAGGGAGGCGAGUUCUCUCGUGGAAUCAACGAAGUACUCAACUUUAAAGUGAUAACUGAAGAACAACAUUAUUGUAUCGAUAAAAACCAUGCUUUUUUCGCAGAAAUAUGUAACUCAUAUUUUUUUUAAAGCAACACUCACAACGUAUUGAAUAAAAUUAUCAUACACUUUUUUUGUCUAACAUUUGUGAAAUACGAUAUUAUCAAGAUCACCAAGAAGGUAAUCUUCAAUUCUUAAUGAAUAUAACAAAAAACAUAAUUAAUGAUUAUUUGAUGGUUUUAUUAUUAUCUCUGUAUUACAAAAGCACAACAUGGUGUUAACAGUUUAUAUAGUUCGUAUGUUUCUGUAGGAAUAUACAAAUAAUAGUUCUCUAUCGCAACGUAAUCUAAAUGGAAAACCCUAAUUAAAUGACAAAAAUAUCAGUAAUAACUGGAACUAGUGAAUGUUAAAAGCGAUCAGUAUAUUCCAUACAAACUUCCAUCAACGCGAUUCGUCCCUCAUUCUCUCAACACACUAAGAUCACAAUCUUUAAACGCUUAUAAAACCAUCAGCAAUCGUAAAGUUUAGAAUUCGCUAUCUGGGCGCCUCUCAAUCCAGCUUUUGAUGUUAGGCAGAGCGAGGACCUUUUCCUUCAGCCGCGUCAGAUUGAUGUAAUUCACAAUCAGAUCAGACUCG